UACGUAGGGAGCAAGCGUUGUCCGGAAUCAUUGGGCGUAAAGCGCGUGUAGGCGGCCCGGUAAGUCCGCUGUGAAAGUCGGGGGCUCAACCCUCGGAUGCCGGUGGAUACUGUCGGGCUUGAGUGCGGAAGAGGCGAGUGGAAUUCCUGGUGUAGCGGUGAAAUGCGCAGAUAUCAGGAGGAACACCAAUUGCGAAGGCAGCUCGCUGGGACGUUACUGACGCUGAGACGCGAAAGCGUGGGGAGCAAACAGG
rnacentral:rRNA from 1 species